AAAUUGAAGAGUUUGAUCAUGGCUCAGAUUGAACGCUGGCGGCAGGCCUAACACAUGCAAGUCGAACGGUAACAGGAAGCAGCUUGCUGCUUCGCUGACGAGUGGCGGACGGGUGAGUAAUGUCUGGGAAACUGCCUGAUGGAGGGGGAUAACUACUGGAAACGGUAGCUAAUACCGCAUAACGUCGAAAGACCAAAGAGGGGGACCUUCGGGCCUC
rnacentral:rRNA from 1 species